rnacentral:rRNA from 1 species
AACGAACGCUGGCGGCAGGCCUAACACAUGCAAGUCGAGCGGACCCUUCGGGGUUAGCGGCGGACGGGUGGGUAACGCGUGGGAAUAUGCCCUUCUCUACGGAAUAGUCCUGGGAAACUGGGGGUAAUACCGCAUAGGCACUUUGGGGGAAAGAUUUAUCGGGGAAGGAUUAGCCCGCGUUGGAUUAGGUCGUUGGUGGGGUAAUGGCCGACCAAGCCGACGAUCCAUAGCUGGUUUGAGAGGAUGAGCAGCCACACUGGGACUGAGACACGGCCCAGACUCCUACGGGAGGCAGCAGUGGGGAAUCUUAGACAAGGGGGGCAACCCUGAUCUAGCCAUGCCGCGUGAGUGAUGCAGGCCUUAGGGUUGUAAAGCUCUUUCAGCUGGGAAGAUAAUGACGGUACCAGCAGAAGAAGCCCCGGCUAACUCCGUG